rnacentral:rRNA from 1 species
AGAGUUUGAUCCUGGCUCAGGAUGAACGCUAGCUACAGGCUUAACACAUGCAAGUCGAGGGGCAGCAUGGUCUUAGCUUGCUAAGGCCGAUGGCGACCGGCGCACGGGUGAGUAACACGUAUCCAACCUGCCGUCUACUCUUGGACAGCCUUCUGAAAGGAAGAUUAAUACAAGAUGGCAUCAUGAGUCCGCAUGUUCACAUGAUUAAAGGUAUUCCGGUAGACGAUGGGGAUGCGUUCCAUUAGAUAGUAGGCGGGGUAACGGCCCACCUAGUCUUCGAUGGAUAGGGGUUCUGAGAGGAAGGUCCCCCACAUUGGAACUGAGACACGGUCCAAACUCCUACGGGAGGCAGCAGUGAGGAAUAUUGGUCAAUGGGCGAGAGCCUGAACCAGCCAAGUAGCGUGAAGGAUGACUGCCCUAUGGGUUGUAAACUUCUUUUAUAAAGGAAUAAAGUCGGGUAUGGAUACCCGUUUGCAUGUACUUUAUGAAUAAGGAUCGGCUAACUCCGUGCCAGCAGCCGCGGUAAUACGGAGGAUCCGAGCGUUAUCCGGAUUUAUUGGGUUUAAAGGGAGCGUAGAUGGAUGUUUAAGUCAGUUGUGAAAGUUUGCGGCUCAACCGUAAAAUUGCAGUUGAUACUGGAUAUCUUGAGUGCAGUUGAGGCAGGCGGAAUUCGUGGUGUAGCGGUGAAAUGCUUAGAUAUCACGAAGAACUCCGAUUGCGAAGGCAGCCUGCUAAGCUGCAACUGACAUUGAGGCUCGAAAGUGUGGGUAUCAAACAGGAUUAGAUACCCUGGUAGUCCACACGGUAAACGAUGAAUACUCGCUGUUUGCGAUAUACUGCAAGCGGCCAAGCGAAAGCGUUAAGUAUUCCACCUGGGGAGUACGCCGGCAACGGUGAAACUCAAAGGAAUUGACGGGGGCCCGCACAAGCGGAGGAACAUGUGGUUUAAUUCGAUGAUACGCGAGGAACCUUACCCGGGCUUAAAUUGCAGAUGAAUUACGGUGAAAGCCGUAAGCCGCAAGGCAUCUGUGAAGGUGCUGCAUGGUUGUCGUCAGCUCGUGCCGUGAGGUGUCGGCUUAAGUGCCAUAACGAGCGCAACCCUUGUUGUCAGUUACUAACAGGUUCCGCUGAGGACUCUGACAAGACUGCCAUCGUAAGAUGUGAGGAAGGUGGGGAUGACGUCAAAUCAGCACGGCCCUUACGUCCGGGGCUACACACGUGUUACAAUGGGGGGUACAGAGGGCCGCUACCACGCGAGUGGAUGCCAAUCCCCAAAACCUCUCUCAGUUCGGACUGGAGUCUGCAACCCGACUCCACGAAGCUGGAUUCGCUAGUAAUCGCGCAUCAGCCACGGCGCGGUGAAUACGUUCCCGGGCCUUGUACACACCGCCCGUCAAGCCAUGGGAGCCGGGGGUACCUGAAGUGCGUAACCGCGAGGAGCGCCCUAGGGUAAAACUGGUGACUGGGGCUAAGUCGUAACAAGGUAGCCG